CGAUUUUUAAAAAUAUCUUCUUUGUUUUGUUUCGCUAAGUCACACAUCUCGUAUUUCAACGCUUAAAGUGGAUAGGGAUUGCUUAGGUUAUAGUUAUAGGCUUAUCAUUGGUUCAGGUACAAAUUACACUGCAGUGAAAUGCAUUUUCCUUUUUCACAGUAUAUGAGCCACAGGUUUGAUUGGAGCAGCUGCAUACAUUGCACACCAUUCCAAUAAAUCACAACGUAAGUGGAGCAGAAUUCUUAUGCAACUUGUCAGCAUUGGAUUUGCAUCAGUAGGUUCAGCAAGACUUCUGUAUAUUUACCCAUUUAACGUCACUCACAACAGCCAACGUUGAGAAUCCAAAUAAGAGAACAGGGAUGGUUGAAAAGAUUCAUAAAUGUGUCAUAUUGGCCAGGAGAAAAUACACUCAAUAUCCAACUUUA